UACGAAGGGGGCUAGCGUUGUUCGGAAUGACUGGGCGUAAAGGGCGCGUAGGCGGCGCAUCAAGUCGGGCGUGAAAGCCCCGGGCUCAACCUGGGAACUGCGUUCGAGACUGGUGCGCUGGAGUUCGGGAGAGGAGAGUGGAAUUCCCAGUGUAGAGGUGAAAUUCGUAGAUAUUGGGAAGAACACCAAUGGCGAAGGCAGCUCUCUGGACCGAUACUGACGCUGAGGCGCGAAAGCGUGGGGAGCAAACAGG
rnacentral:rRNA from 1 species